GCGGCGUCUGCUCGGGGGGCGCGGGGGAGUCGCACAGGCUCGGGUUCGGGCACAGGCUGCGGUGCCCGCGGGUCCCUGCCCCGCGCCAAGUGACGGACACUCGGCCGAGGCUGUCACAGAGCCCGCACGGGUGUCCCGAGGCUGGCUGUGUGAAGUGACGCUGUGUGUCACCCACGGACUGUCUCAAGAAGAUGAGGGAUGAGCUGGAGCAGCCACAUCAAAGUCCUUGGUUUUUAGGGAAUUAGAAUGACCUUGCGGGUCUGGCGUUUUUCUCCGAGAGAAGGAAAGGAGCAGGACGGCCCCAUUAGUUUUAACACCACUGGCAAGAACAAGCAAACACCUGAUGGCUUCAAAAACCUCUGGGAAGAAGGUUAUGGGGGAACCAAUUUGAUUCUGGGCUUUAUAAUAUUAGUCAAAGGAGAUCUUCCCUUGAAGUGACUGCUUUUUUGAUCACAGCGUUUCUUCAUGAAACUUUGUAGCCUUUUUACAGAAAAGUAGUGGAAUUUUCUUCCUCGAAGUGUGUCUUAAUGUUUCUACAAAGAACAAUUAUUAAGACCCUUGUAACCCAUCACGGUGUGAUGAAAUACACGAACUGAAAGGGCUGAGCCACCAAUGGGACCCUGCUGUGCUCAGGCCACAUCACACUGCUCACCUUCCUUGCUUUUCCCCCUGAAAGGUACUGUCCUGGUUUUGCCAAGGAAGGGAAUGAGUUAAAUCAAUUAUAAGAUGUAUUUAGGUUUCUCAUUUUACCUUGGGAUUUUCUAAGAAAUCACAUCCAGUGUAGUUUUAUCAUACACUGGAUUACACUGAGUAGAGUUCUUGGGUACUGGAGAUAAGCAAAACAAUAAUACUAAAACAGAGCUACGGGUUAUUAAAUAAAAACAGUAAAUAGAGCAAGGACAAAAGAGAGAUGAUGAUAGCAAGAGAAAGGUUAAAAAGCUAUUGUGGAAUUCUGUAGCCAACAGAAACUACAUAGUUCAUUACAUACAGUUUAACCUGAAGUCAUCUUGAAAUUCAUUACACUCAACGCUGUAUCUGAAAAACCUGAAUCAUUUGUGACAGGAGUUAUGCUAAGGCUUGAGUAGUUUGGAAAUUCCAGUUAAAAGUUGAGAGUCAGGCUGAAGAGCCUAAAAUUAUAAAGGUACAUGAAGCAGCCAGCUGUGAGUGUAACAUAUGUCAGCAGCUACUUGCCUACUCAGGGCAAAGCCAGGCUGCCCAAGCCCCCUUUGCCAGCUGCCACAGGAAACUGGUUUUAGACAUAUGCUGAGGGGGAUUUUUUUUUUCCUGUUUCUUCCAGUUUUACCGAAAAAAAUCCAUAUCAUAUGACUCAAAAAUAGCAGGUAAUAUAUUACUAGCAAGGAACUUGGUGUCAUUAAAUUGGGUCCAUCCACAGCCUGAGCACAUUGUACUUCCAAGGUCUGUUUUGGAAUUAUGGCAAUGUGGGAAACACUGUAAAAAUAAUAUAAUGAGACAAUCAAGACAUUUGUUAUAAUGACUUCUUUAAGAUUAUAUCUGUAUAUCAGCUGCUGUUAGUACCUGAGCUGCUGGGUUAUGUACUUUUCUUUGGUUAAAUAUUUGAGGCUGCUCUGCAGUGAGCAUUCAGCAAGUGUAUGAGUAAUAAUUUGGGGAAAACUGUGAGAACUCACACACAUUUAUCUUCACCCCUUACAUGUUACAAUGUCUUUCAGUGAAGAGGUUUUUACUGUGUCUUGGACUAGGAAAAUGGAACAUAUGGACAUCCCUUCUUGUUGUAAAUGCUCUAGGCAUAAGGUGUGGUUAGGUCUCCUGUCUUAAAUUAAAAUACUGGGAAGUUAGUAGCAUCAUGCUGGGAACCGAAUUGAUUUAAUUUAGGAGAGUAUUCAAUGUGCACUAGAUAUCUGAUGUGUGAUAUUAAACCCAGCCAUUUUUAAAGGACCCCCACUGACAUAGCUUGGGUUUGUAUCCAUAGGAGUAGUUCUGUAAUUUCCUUCAUCCUUUCCUGACUUUGCCUCUUUUUGUACUAUUGCUCACACUUGGAGCAGCCUGCCAGUUGAUAUAUGGGAAGGGGCCUCCCUUCCCUCUGUGUAAAGCUCCAUUUCAGCUCUAAUGACCAUUUGCCAGUCUGUUCUGUGCCAUAUUGUUCUGAAUGAGUUUUCUUUGUGCUUUUUUAGACUGACAGUUCAUGUAGUCUGGAGAUCUUUUGUCUUUCUAGUUCACACCGUAUUUUGUAAAAUGCCAUGUUAUGUCUUGAGAUCUAUAUAAAUUAUAAAUACUAGUUAAGCUAAGAGAAGACACCCAGGCAUCCUAUGAAAUGUUCUGUAGUCCCUUCCUGCAAUUCUUGAUGCGCAGGGAGGGGAGACACGAUGUUAUUGCUGCUUGCUUAGUCUUCACUUGGUAACAGCUGCCAUGGAGCUGAAGCAUUGCUCCAGUGCCAGGCCAGCCUCCAUAUCUUUUGCACAUUACUCCUCAGCCUUCCUAAGUUUGUUUGCCUAGAUUUCAUCAUGCAGAGUAAUUUAACUGCAUGGUCACCAUUGUAUCUAUUACUCUUUGUGGAUGUCUGAACAAUUUCCAGCAGAAUGGUUCCUCCUUCAGCCAUGUACACUCUGAAUUUUGUCUCAUUUUCAUUUGUACCUUGGGCUUCUGAUAUAAAUACUGUAAAAAAAAAAAGUGAAAUUCAUUAGUUAUUCUGACUGUCUCUUUGAUAUCCUAGAACAAAAUAAUUUCUUUUAAGGAUGGAAUAAUACCUUUGAUUCAGAAAACACAGCAAUUUGGAGAAGGCAGUUCUUGGGUAAAUAUGCUAAACUUGAAAUCAUGAAGAUAAGUAUUUAAUGAGGAUGCCUAACUAGUUAUCCAGCAUUCAUGGAUGUAGAAAGAUAACCAGCACAGAGCUAAAAAGAGUAUUAAUUUGUGCCUCUUUUUUUCACUGUGUUUGGUUUAAUUUGGGGCAACUGGUAUCUGUUUACAGAUAAAAUAAAUGUAACAUCUGAAGACAGGCAGUAAAUUUCUUUAACUGAAAGACCCAUCAGCUUUAUGCAGUAUAUGUGUUAAUGGCCUUUUUUCCUUCAGAGUAGUUCACUGAAGCUGUGUAAGAAUAAGGAAAGUAUACAGGAAAAGUGAAAACCUGCCAUGGUUUUCUACAGUAUGGAAGCAACCUGUACUUAAGUUAGGCAAGUCAUGUUAAAGUGAAAAAUGUUCUCUUUGCACCUCCUAUUGUGCUUUACAGAAGUUACAGUCUUCAAACACCCCAAACUAUACCAAUCUAUUGGUUGUUUCAUUUCAGCUUUGCAGUGUAGAGGGAGAUUUUGUCUAAUAUCUUUUAUAGUUUGUUCAUGCUUCUUUGAUUCAGAGAAUUUUUGAAGAGGAUUAAAGGAAAACAGCCUCUGGAUGACUGGUGGGAACUUUAAAUAGCAUAACCACUCUUCUCUGUCCAGUAAAUCCAUUACAUGAUAAACUAUUGAUUUUUAUAACACAAUUAAGGUGCCAAUGAUUUCUUAAGAAAUCAUUCUACAUUUUUUGUAUUAUGCACUCAGCACAUUAUCUAUUGUAAAUCGGAUGAUAGUGUUUUCAGUCUGGAACAAAACCAUCUUCAUGCUAUUCUCAGAAUGAGAAUAGCAUCUCCACACUAGUCUCAGUGCUGCAGAGGGUUUUGCCUCUGAAAUGAACUGAUGGUCUUCAUCAAUUUGAUUGUGCCAUAUAUAUACAAAAAAUUUUUAACCACUGUCAUUUACUACUAUUGGGACAUUCUUAAGGCAGGUAGUUUAUUGUGCCUCAAAAGUUUUAGUAACUUGCACUGACAAGAAUAAAAAUUGAAAUUUCACAAGCAGCCUCAUGAUUUGGGGUUAAAAUGGAUGGCUGUCUGGACUCACAGAGGAAUUUCCUCAUCUCUCCAUCACGUAGUUUGUACAGUGAAGGAGAAUGCCAUGGAGUAUUUCCUUUGAAGCAGCAUGAAGUAUUAGAAAGCAAGAUAUUGGUUGCAAUGGGUCAAAACUGACUCUUCUAUUCUGACAUUUCCUGUGUUCUUUUGUGCUGAGGCAGGAUGAACAGAGCCUUUAUUUGUUCUGAUAACUCUGUGGGUUUUUUUCCCUUUUCUUUCCACUUUUGAUUUUAUUUUUACUGACAAGAUAGGAAAAGAAGUCAAUAUAUAGUUUGAUGUUGCUCAUCCAACUUGUCAGAUUUUUGUUUAGUGUUUUGAUACUGUUUUUUCAUUCAAUUAUUGUUCACAUUGUUGGGGUUUAAGGUUUAAGGUUUCUCACAGUAUGCACUGCAUAUAAAUGCCUCUUGUGAUAUCACUUGUGAUAUCUUUCAGAUUAAUCUUUUUAAAUUAAUGUUGUUUUUUUCAGAAAUACAAGUACUUUCAAAUAAAACUCUUUGCACAUUUGGAAUACAAAUAAACCUACAAACCCAAAUACAAAUUGCGAGAAA